GGUAGCUAAAGAUAAUCGCAGGAUUUAGAGUAACAUCAGUGAUUGUUCUUACUUCUCCGAUCGUGGAAUCAUACAAGCCGCCCCACCGAGUAGCUUUAGCUACCAGCAACAACGCGCCUGCUCCUAGAAACAACAAAUGGUGGCCUAAGAUAAGCCCUACUUUAGCCGGAUUAUUCCA
rnacentral:antisense_RNA from 1 species